UUCCAGGGAUAGCUCAGUUGGUAGAAUAUGCGACACUUAAUCUCAGGGUUGUGGGUACGAGCCCCAUGUUGGAAA
rnacentral:tRNA from 1 species